rnacentral:misc_RNA from 1 species
UUUUCGUAGGUGAACCUGCGGAAGGAUCAUUAAUGAAUUUAAGGCGGACGGACUCUGAAAAGAGAAAAUCCGCCAACUUCAUUUUUUCACACACUUGUGCACUCGUCUUUUUUAAUAACCCUUUUGCAUUUGUAAAAAGUUGUUAAAACAAACUUGAUAAAGAAAGAAAAACUUUCAGCAAUGGAUCUCUUGGCUCUCGCAUCGAUGAAGAACGCAGC